rnacentral:lncRNA from 1 species
UUUCACGAAUCCACUAUAUAUACUGGAAAUGGACCUAUGAUUUAAUGCUAAGCUAAUUGAAUCUCAAAAACCAAAUAAAGUGCCGAAGAGUUAGAUUUUAAGUCUGGUUUGGAAUAAUCAACAUGUUUUAAGUUGUACCUUUCAAUAGCAAACAAGGGAAAGGGAUUCAAUUACUUCUAUUUCCCCCAUAACUUGUCAAACGUUCAGAUGUAAUUGAAGCAUAAGACUAGCAACUAUGUCUGUUGAGAUAUUAGUGCUUGACAUAAACCAACUCAACACCCAACAAAUAGAUAAGUUAUCACAACAUCAAUACAACUUGGAAUAUAUUGAAAACAGUCUAAUCAAGAUAGAUUUAGCACAUGAAACAAUACCUGCUACACAUGAUUUUACUUUUAGAAAAAUAGAAACACAUACCUAUCUCAAAUGUUCAACAAUCAAACCAACCAAAUGCUGUUAGGCAAAUUUCCCUUUUCCUUUUAGAUGUGAACAAAAGGAGGAAAAAUUUAGAGUUGUAAGAAGGUGUUAUUUAAUUUCUUGUAUAACGAACAGAAAUAAAAUCAACAAAUCCAAACCGUGAACGAACAGAAAAACAUCAAAGAACAAUUCCUCCAUAUAUACAUAAACAAAUUUUAUCAAAUUUAUAGCACAUGGAUGUCCGAACAAUCAUUACACUUCGAGAUUAAGAUAAAUACCUCUAAACAGCAGUAGAGAUAAACCUGAAUAACCAAAUAAAGGCGAAGGGAAAGCUGGAGCUCAGCGAAAGUAGAAACAACAAACGCAUCUUCAACUUCUAAAAUCAAAAUCAAAACUCGAAAACCCAUAAUUGGAGAGAUGAAGCAGCGAAAAUCAGCAAAGUCUUCGAAACUCCCUGUUCCCCCGAUUUUCUUCUAGUUUUGAAACCUCUUCUGUCAUUUCAGCUUCAAAAUCUUUCAGAACUUCCAAUUUAUUCUUGUUUUUUUUUUGUUGCUAAAUGCUUUUUUUUGGUUUCUAAAUGCUUUUGUGUGCGUGUGUGUAAGGUGGUGAGAGACGAGUGUGAGGGGAGAUGGGGGAAUGGUCUGCCGAUGGGUUUUUCUUUUUGAGAGGAGAUUCCGAUUUUCUUUUCUUGGUCUGUCUCUGUUCUUUUGUUUGAGAUAUGUUGUAUAUGUGUAUUGGUAGGUGAAGAAGAAAAUGAGAGGGGGUUGCACUGUUGAUGGUUAGGGAAAAUAGGGUCUGAUGUUGUGUGAGAUUUGAGGAAGGGUUGUAGGGUUUAUAAUUUUGGGGAGGGAUCCGUUCUCGGAGUGUAUGAGAGAUGACG